AAGGGCUUAGCUUAAAUUAAAGUGUUUGUUUUGCAUACAGACGAUGUAGGUUAUAUUCUUGCAGUCCUUA
rnacentral:tRNA from 1 species